AUCUUGCAAGGCAACAAAAUUGCAGGCAUAAUAGAUUUUUGCAGGACAAUUAUGCCAAACACCCCUCCCCCCCCUCAACUAAACAGCCCCUGGUUGUGCCAAUUUCGCCCCUGGUUGUGCCAAUAGCAUAGGAUAAUAGCAUAUGUAUACUGUAGUCUCAUUGUCUGAAGUCUGUGCCAGAAAAAAGAGAUACAAGUAUAUUGCCCAAAUUUCCUUAAAAAAAUUGACGAUUCAUCAAGUCUUGGGGUCUGCAGCCCCAGCCCCGUCUUGUAUGCUUACGACACCCAUAUAUCCACAUAUAAAUUUUGCUUUGACAAGUACUGUAAGUGUAUUCUAAAUAAGAAAUGGUGCUGUAGUUAUAAUUAUGAUACUAUUGCAACAACAAAAACUUUCAUGAAUUUGUUUUAUAGGACCUAAAUGAUGAUAAUGAACAGAAAGAAUCCUGUGUUUCUCAGGAUAUUUUUAACUUGCAGAGACAGGUACAGUGACUACUGUAAUUUAUAUUAACAAAAUAUAUAUUAACAAAAUUUUAUUUUAGUUAAUCUUGCUGAUGCAAUAAUUUUAAAUUAAAAAUGUGUCAAAUAAAUAAAGCAUGAAUUUGACUUUGUUGAAAACCUUCAGCUAUUUAUAGCUUGUAAACAAGUAAAGUUUUCCCACCAAUGUAAUAUUGGUUGCUGAUGUUUUUGUCUGGCAUACAUCUCAUUCUGCCUAGCUGGGCUCAUGCUAAUGGACAAAUGCACCAUACUUUAAUAUUUUACUUUGCCUGAUACCAGACAAAGUAAAAUCUACACAGAGAGUUGCAAAUUAAUGAAUGAAUAUAUUUUACAUGAACCUUGAACACCUACUUUUAUAGAGAUUAGGGAGUGGUCAUUAUUUAUGGGGAGGGGGGGUGGGAAAUGGGGAAAAGAAGAAUUGAAAACUUUUUUGACCCCCCCUCCAGACUGAAGGCAAACUUUUUGUGCCUCCCCCCUCAUAAAAGUAGAAACUUUUCUGACCCCCCCCCCAGUGUGGAUUGAAAAAUUAACAGCAAUGAAACAGGUGUGCGUUGCAGGUAAAGUUAGAUAUUAGGACAAUCUGUUUAAUCUAGCUCAUGAUGUUUUACCCUGGUGAAUAUGAUUCAACCAUAUAUGAUUAAAAAAUAUAUAUUAUGUGUUACUACUUUGCAAUGCAACAUUUGUCCUACCAUAACCCUAACCCAUGACCCGUCUUCAUACAGCGAAAUGAUUUGAACACAGGGUUUUUUUAAGAACUUGUCUGGGGGGUGGGCAUCUACAAAAAGGGACCAUACUAUAUUGAGUGUGGAGAGAUGACAGAUGGUUGUUGGUGACAAAAAGUUUGGUGUGGUAUCGUAUGUACUAGUAGGGGGGUCUGGGGGUAUUCUCCCCCAGAAAAUUUUUUGUAUUUUUCCACCCCUAGAACUGAAAUGUGAGCAUUUUCUGAAACAGAUUUUUGGAUAUACAGCGUUACAUUGUGCGUUGAUAGACCGAAUCUGAUCAGUUAAGUGUACUUGCAUGGUAUGUUUAUGUAAAUACCACAACUGGGUCACUCAGGGGGUAGAAAGCUUGUUAAACUUAGUGGGCCCGACUCCCACGAUCGCGAGGCGCUACCAUGGUUGGCGCCGAGCAGGGAAAUUUUGAAAAUUUUGAGUCUCUAGAUCGUUGGAAAUAGCAUUUUCAGAGUCUUCUUUUUUGCUAUUUGUGAUUAUAGAAAUCAGAACUCUAGACAUGGUAUUUAAGUUCAAAAACUUUUAUGACCCCCCCCCCUUUCUCUGUGUUAAAACUUUUUUGACCCCCCUAUUUAUAAGGGUAAAACUUCGUUUGCCCCCCCCUCCCCAUUUCCUAAUCCCCCCCCCCUCCUCCCCAUAAAUAAAGACCACUCCCUUAGUACUGUAACUUGCUUUGAAGGGAUUAAGGGAUACCAUUUGUUUGUGUGAACUGAGUAUGUUAUUGUAUUUCUUAGUGCAAGACAUAGAUGCAUUUUGACCUAACUAAACCCAAUUGAGUUUACAUCAGACAUUUGCAAAUACUUUUCCCAACCCAUUGCCAAUGUUUGUAUUUUUUUAAAGGCAAAAAUAAACUAAAUAGCCUCUAUCUCUACAUAUAACUAUGAUAUAAAUCAUCUAAUUAAUUAUCAUUUGCCGUUACUAUACCCAGGAUUCCAGAGCCUUCGACAGUAAAUAAUAAAUUGAAAUGUCGCGAAGGCUCUGGUUCAACGGGGGCGAUUCUUCUUUGAAGUUUUGAAAUAGAAAAACUAAAACAGCGGUGACGUACAGCAGGUUAAAUUUUAACCCAAGAUUAGCGCUAAUCCAGCUUUGGACAACUGGCCCCAGGAAUGUAACUGUUUACAUAAACAAAAUCCUAUACAGAUAUGAUAUAUAAUUAUAUAUGCUUUAAAAAUAAAUGUUUUCAGUAUUGUUCUGGAGGUUAGCACUUGGCAUGUGGGAUGUGAUUGUAAAAGUGCUGCACUUUGGAUUGCACACUAAUACUGUAGUUGCAUUUUUUGCAAUGAUUUUCAGAAAUUUUUCCUCUCUCAAAAAUCUGUCCAGGAAACUUUAUUCAAUAGUUUUGUUUCUAUUUUUGUUUUUAGGUGUUAGCUGAACUUCACAUAAUUAUAAUCAAGUAAAAUCUGUAAGUAAUAUCAUAUGUAAUUCUAUCACUUCUAUGUAGUUAGAUGCGUAUUGUCUUGUGUCAGGUCAGAUCGAUAUGGGCUGAACUGGUUUGAGAAAUAACUGAAACCAAUACACUGAUUAUCAAACUGAAAUCUUAGAUAUCUUUGAAAUUAAGAAUCAAAAUAGUUAAGUAAACAAAUUAUUACGGCAUAAUUCCAGGUCCAGUGUUGACAUGUGUUAGCUGCCGUUGUAACUUAUCGUGAUUAAUUAAAUUAAUGAUAUUAUUCCUUGUUCUACCUCAAGAAUGGGGGUCCUCUGCAUGCUCUGGUGCCGAGUUGUGUCAGUCAUGUGUGCCGCCCGCAUCAAUCCAUCCCUAGCUAGAGAGCUUGUACACUUUGUUAUGUUAUUUGUAGUGUAGUGGUUCAGGGGGGGGGGGAGGAUUUAGUUGCUACAAUAUAAGAAAAUUCCCUAUAUAGAAAUGCUUCCCUUUUAUUAGCCCCUGCAGUAUGAAACCCCAAAUCUGUAUAAAGUUCACUGCUUAGGGGCUUUGGUGGUGCAAUCGUCAGAGCAAGCAUUAUUCACCUCUGAGAUUGUGGGUUCAAUCCUCACAUUGGACUAAAGACACUUAUGUGAAAAGAGUUAGUCAACACUCUACCAAACGUCUGGUUUCCUACCACAGGGAAUGUUGACAGAGUGGGUUGGGAUUAGCCCCUAACUGACACUUCCACCAUACCUGUGCACCAUGACCAGACAUGAGUCAUAAGGUGGCUGCCAGAGUGCCCUUAGUGAGCCUUUGACUCGAUCAGGUUGAGCUGCGUCCUUCGCAAUUCAGCUCUCAGCUGCAAGUAAGCAUGAUUAGUACCUAGUACAUGCAAGUAAGGAUGAUUAGAUCCUAACUCCAUUCCUAGUACACCCCCAAUUACUCACUUACUUACUUAUUAAAUUAAUGGUCAUUGAAGGUUUUUGUAGAUGGAAAUGUUGAGUGUACAUUUUUAUACAAUUAUUAGAUCUAACCAGGAGCAAUUGCAAAACUGUAUGCCCUCUGGUAGGAAUCAGACAUGUGGCCCUGUGAAUGCAAUUCCAGUGCAGUGCUCUAAGCUGUACUUUGGUACAUGCAAAUUUUGAGUAUAAAUUUUAUAUGUUUAUCCAGGAGCAGUUGCAAAAAGUGCAACUAUGGGCCAGGCUCUGGCAGGAAUGGACCUGUGGCCAAUGACCUUGCAGCUAGGGCUCGACAACAAGAAUCUUUAGCUCGCAUGGCUUAAUUGCCUGAUUCUCGAAAUUUCAUCUAUAAAAAACCUUCAACACUUAGUUCUAUCGAGUGAGAUGCCCUAAAUCCUGAUAACAAUAUUCGUUUCAUGUUUCAAAUUUUGUUUUUAAUAUUUAUUAGCCAUCAACACAAACGAGAAAACCGUUUUGGUUCCAAACUGUAGAAUUCCAGUUGAUGUUGUGAGGAAUGAAAGAUGAUGUCAACCAAUAAUGAACUAUCAGAUGCUCAGCGUAUGUCAUUGCAUGCCAUUAUGUUUUCGAGGCUAUCCACUUAGUUAUGACUUAUGUGGAUUGUGUCAAUCAGAGUUGUAUUGUUGGCAGAGGUUAAUUUUAAAAAAUGUUAUCUUAAUUUGUAUACAGGUGUAUUGAUGGUUGCAUGAUUGUAGUCCUAGCUUAUAUAUUGUAAAUAUUUAAUAAUUUUAGCUA
rnacentral:lncRNA from 1 species